CACUCUAGAGAGACUGCCAGGGAUAACCUGGAGGAAGGUGGGGAUGACGUCAAAUCAUCAUGCCCCUUAUGCUUAGGGCUACACACGUGCUACAAUGGGUAGUACAGAGGGUUGCCAAGCCGUAAGGCGGAGCUAAUCCCUUAAAGCUACUCUCAGUUCGGAUUGUAGGCUGAAACUCGCCUACAUGAAGCUGGAGUUACUAGUAAUCGCAGAUCAGAAUGCUGCGGUGAAUGCGUUCCCGGGUCUUGUACACAC
rnacentral:rRNA from 1 species